AUUGAACGCUGGCGGCAGGCCUAACACAUGCAAGUCGAGCGGAUGAAGGGAGCUUGCUCCUGGAUUCAGCGGCGGACGGGUGAGUAAUGCCUAGGAAUCUGCCUGGCAGUGGGGGAUAACGUCCGGAAACGGGCGCUAAUACCGUAUACGUCCUGAGGGAGAAAGUGGGGGAUCUUCGGACCUCACGCUAUCAGAUGAGCCUAGGUCGGAUUAGCUAGUUGGUGGGGUAAAGGCCUACCAAGGCGACGAUCCGUAACUGGUCUGAGAGGAUGAUCAGUCACACUGGAACUGAGACACGGUCCAGACUCCUACGGGAGGCGGCAGUGGGGAAUAUUGGACAAUGGGCGAAAGCCUGAUCCAGCCAUGCCGCGUGUGUGAAGAAGGUCUUCGGAUUGUAAAGCACUUUAAGUUGGGAGGAAGGGCAGUAAGUUAAUACCUUGCUGUUUUGACGUUACCAACAGAAUAAGCACCGGCUAACUUCGUG
rnacentral:rRNA from 1 species